rnacentral:rRNA from 1 species
GGAGGAUGUAUAGCAAUAGCUACUUGCAUCAUCCUUUUCUCAUUUUAUUCUUCUCGUUUUCUUCUUUUUAAGAAGAAAAUGAGAAGAAUAAAAGUAGAGAAAAGUAAAGAUGAUGCAAGAUCGACUAUGUCGAAUAAAAUUCUAGGUAGAAUUAUGAUAAUGACAUUGUCUGCCUAUGUGUCUUGACCAAAUUACGUGCCAGCAGUCGCGGUAAUACGUAGAAGACUAGUGUUAUUCAUGUUUAAUCGGUUUAAAGGGUACCUAGACGGUAAAUCAAGCUUUCAAAGAAAAACAAGACAAAAUUGAUAGUAUAGUGAUAAUUAAAGGACUAAUUUACUAGAGUUACUUAUGAGGGGGUAUUAAAGUACUGCUGGUGUAGAGAUGAAAUUCUGUCAUACCUCUUUUCAAAAGAAAAAUGAUGGCACAGGUAUAGGCGAAGGCAUCCCCUUAUGUGAUAACUGACGUUGAAGGACGAAGG